rnacentral:rRNA from 1 species
UACGUAGGGGGCGAGCGUUGUCCGGAUUUAUUGGGCGUAAAGAGCGUGUAGGCGGCUUUACAGGUCCGUUGUGAAAACUCGAGGCUCGACCUCGAGACGCCGGUGGAAACCGUAAAGCUAGAGUCCGGAAGAGGAGAGUGGAAUUCCUGGUGUAGCGGUGAAAUGCGCAGAUAUCAGGAAGAACACCCGUGGCGAAGGCGGCUCUCUGGGACGGUACUGACGCUGAGACGCGAAAGCGUGGGGAGCGAACAGG